UUCCAACACUUUUUUUUUCCUGAAAAAGAAAGGGAUAUGCACGCACGCACACACACAUAUGAGCCCAUGGCACCUUACUGAAAGACCAGCAUUCCCAAAUACCGAAGGGCUUCGCCUAUAAAUACUUCCUGUGCUUCCUCGUCCCUUUGGCAAGGGCACUCAGCCUCUCAACACAAGCGCAAACACAAACACAAACACAAACACAACCAAGAAGUCAGUAGUAAUGGAGUACUGCUACCAGUACAACAGCGUCAGCAGCAGCAACUUGGCGAAGGAGAAGAGGCCGGCGCCGAAGAGGGGGCACGUCAAGAUGCAGAUCGUGAGGACCAUCAGCAACAUCGUGGCGCCGAGCAGCGGUAACAACAGCUUCAGAAGGGAACGAAGCUACAACUGAAUACCCCUGUCUCUGUCGUCUGUAGAUGUACAUAUAUAUGCAUAUGGCGUGCCCCUUGUAUCUGAACUUUUCUCUUUGAGGGGUUUAAUUGAGGGGUUUUAGCUGGACAGAGUAGACUGCCGCUCAUCAGAGCUGAGUGCCUGUUUGCUCGGAAAAGAAGUUUCUAUGACGACAAGAUUACAAUAACAUGAACUGUGUGCAGCAUGUAUAGUUGUUUUUUUUUUGUAACGCAAACUGGUCAUGUAUAAAAUCAACUCAGUUUUCAAUUCUCUUUGCUAUAUGUUCAUCUAUUGAAAGUGAUGGCAAUUCUAUUGCACCUUGUGUACGUUGUUGCCCUCUCGGGAGCACUUUGAUGAGUACUAAAGCAUUCAAGGAGACCCAUAGACCAUUCUCGAGGAAGAAGAGAGACUCUUCUUUCGUUGGGUAUCUUUGACCAUUGAAAACUCAAUAAUCAAGCCCGUGGCUGGCGCGGCCUUGCCGGUGAACCGGGGCUCCUGCUUAUUUGAGAUGGUCUCAAAGAGUUUCGAUCCUUCUGCAAGUGCAUCUUUUUGGUGGGGAGAAAAGGCGCAGCUUUAUGCACCCGGAACUUUUUCCACAUCCACUAUCCGCAUGCAUAUCCGUUUAACAUUAUUGCAAAGGCAGAAACAUUCCACAGCGAGGGAGUUGCAGCUAUGUACACGUACGCGAGUGAGCGAUUUCUUUUGGUGCAUGAGUGUGAUGCAUGGGAAUGGGAUUAGAUGAUAGGCUUCCUUUUCCACACCUCACUGCACUACAAGUCUACAAGCUGCGGUGAAGAAGUAUUGUCGAGACACGUCGUGCCUCGUGACUGCAACGGUGAAAAUUAUGCAGCAAAGUGACUUCUUUUUUUCUGCUUCUUUCUACCUACUUCUACCUUUUUUCCAAUUACACUGCACGCAUGGGACUCAUGACUGCAACGGUGAAAAUUAAAGCAGCAAAGUGAAUAUUGUAGCACCGUGCAUGACAACGAUGUUGAUAUUUCGAGAACAAGCAAGCAUGACCACAGUAUAAACGAAACAAGUACUAGUGCGUGCUUUCGCCAACAGUGCGAUAGAAAGCUGCAUGCAUAACGAUUUUUGGUCUCCCUUUGAGCUUGCUAGCUAGUACUAGCUAGCUAGGGUUUUCACAGGGACAGCAAGGGCUGAUGCAAAUCUUUGCGCGUCUUUUCCGGGUUUGGUGUCAUAUGCUUUAUGUGUGUUUUGGGACAAAUGUGACGGGUGACUCCUUUUCCAGUUUGCCACUUUGCUCGAUCGAAAAUGUUUGUAGCAUUUGAUACAGUUAGCAGUGUAGCCAAGAUAUCGUAGGAUAGAAGUAGGGAUGACAACGGUCAAAAAUAAAAUCAGUAAUGCUUCAUGAAGAAAGUCCAAUGCGGAAAAUAAAAAUCGGAAGCCGCAGUUCACGGAACCAAGUCAGACUCUCCUACAUCCUUAUCCUCUGGUACUCCUUUCUUCUUCCACCACACAAGCUCUCUCUCUCUCUCUCUCUCUCUCUCUCUCUCUCUCUCUCUCUCUCUCUCUCUCUCUCUCUCUCUCUCUCUCUCUCUCGCACGCAAGCGUGCAACCACAUGAGCUCACGCUUAAACCCGGACGUCCGCACAUGGCACGCAGCGGCAGCGAGCUCACGGGAUGCCUCCGCAACCAUGCCCUCCGCGCGAUGGGCCCAGGGGCGCCUACCCCACGGGUUAUCCACCACGAGCACCCGCGUCACGAUGUCCCAAGCGCCUCGGCGAGCAGCCUGCCGGCGCGGUUGCAGCAGUCGAGCGCCUCCCGACGGCCACCUCCUCCGCCCUCUCUCUCUCUCCCCAAUGACCGAUUGGGGCGACCUCCGUGCGAGCAAAAUCAUCGACAAAAUCAUCGAUGACGAGUGCAGAGGCGCACGAGUUUGAGCAUUGGUAGGUAUGCAUGUUGCAUGUGUUUCUUGGAAUUGUUUCAACCAUAAUUUUCUCAUUUUGCAUGCGCUUUUCCGAUAUUGCAACAUAUUUGAACAUGUUGUUUUCGAUGUUUCAAUAAUUGAUUGUCAAUGUGACACCUAGUAAUUUGAGAUGUUGCAACAUUUUUCAUCUUUGAUUUGGCCCUUUUUUGGUGAAGAGAUGAUCUUGCACCUAAUCAGGGUAGCCUCUUCAAUCCGUUUUAGCUUGCUGGCACGCUAUCCUCCACCGACGCGCUGUUCUCCUAUGGAUCCGCUGCUUGGAUAGGUUGAGACGGAUGCAACCUUAGCGGUAAUGUUGCGUGCAACAAUAGCAAAUGUUGCAGCGGUAGUUUUUUCUUUUUUUUUGUAGCGUCCGACACUAGCAUCCGGAUCGAACGUCCGGGCGCUAGCAGCUCCGAAAUAAAAUCAUGAUGUAGAAAACGAAAGCAGGACGAUCAACAAAAAUAGUAAAAAUGAUAUUAAAAUUAGUUGAUAUGAUAACUUUUAUAUUUUGCUAAAAGUAAAAAAUAAUUAAAAACGAAAUUAUAAUGUAGAAAACAAAAGCUGUCGGUUCAGCAGCACCUAUCCCGACUAUUUUCAUCCUAGAUAGGACGACACAAAUAAAGUACGAAAAAUAUCAUCGGGAACAACACGCUUUGUGUGUCUCUUGCAGCCCGGCCCAAACUUGCGCACCCAGGCCUGCGGGCUGGGGAUCAUCCACCCCUUUGAAAUCUUUCGGCGGCCUUCGACCAUCGUUCACCCUAGGCGAGUAGGCGGUAUGCUCGAGCAGCGAAGCGGCACCCAGCAGCCACGCCUCAUCGACGCCGUCCAGGUCGCCGAUCGCCGGAACGGCCGGCGCCCUCCCUUGCGCUCCCACGAUCGCAAGCAAGCCAGGCAAUAACGAGCCAACAGCGCUUGACAUUAGCCAUCUCGGUAUGUACCUUCCCUUUUCUUCCUCCCAAAUUCCGCUCUCUCCCAGUUAUCGGUACUGAUUCUUUCAGGGGAAGCGAGUUAAGAUUCAAUUGGAUGAUUCCUUUUUUUUCAAUUUUAUUGAUACAAUGGUAUAUUUUAGCAGCUUGGAAUCUAACUCUGUACUACUUGCUACAGUACACGUAAUGCGUUAAAGUGGUGCGCCCGGCAGCAACAGAUUUGGAGUUCCACACAAGUUUUGUUCCUUUUUUUUUUGGCUGAGUGAUUUCUUGUUGCAGCUCAAAGAUUUGUAGUUACUUAUUUUUAGGGGAAAGUCCUUGAAAGAGUGCGCUUAAGCUGGUUCAUAGUUCACGUCGAAUUGGGUAACAAAUAGUUACACGUGGAAAACACGACUUUAGUCCCUGUUGGAUAGGGUCAUAGAUCCCGAAAAUCCAACCGGGACUAAAUUUUUGAGAUAAAGGGGGAUCCUUUAGUCUCGAGUCAUUCACCCGGGACUAAAAAUCCCCUUUAGUCCCGGUUGGUACCAAAAAGGUUAAAAAGUUAAAAAAAAAAGUGGGCCGGCGGCCUCCGCCCGCCUCCGCACACCUCAGCUCCGCCUCCGCCCACCGCUGCUCCGCCUCCACCUGCCCGCCCGCACCCCGCUGCGCCUGCUGCUGCUCGGCCGCCCGCUUGCCCUACCCUCGCCCCGCUGCCGCUCCUCACUGCUAGUGAGGGGCGAGCAGAGGGAGAAGGGGAGGGGCAGCGCGAGGAUAAGGGAGGAAGGAGAGGGAGGCGCGGUGGAGGGAGAAAGGAGGGGAGGGAGGUGUGGUGGAGGGAGAGAGCUCACGCGGUGGAGGGAGAGAGGAGGCGCUACAAGAGAAUAAGGGAGGGAGCAAGGGUGAGGAGAAGAUAAGGUGGAGAGAGAGGGAGCCGUGUGGGAUGGGAGCCUUCUGUCCUGGUUGGUGUUUCCAACCGAGACUAAAGGCCCCCUUUAAUCCCGGUUGGAAUUACCAACUGGGACUAAACUAAAUCUUUAAUCCCGGUUGGUAAUUCCAACUAGGACUAAAGGGGGGCCUUUAGUCCCGGUUGGUGUUUCCAACCGGGACAAAAUGUCCUCUCGUCCCACUAGCCGUUACAAUCGGGACUAAAGGUGGGGGAUUUAGUCCCGGUUGGUGUUCACAACCGGGACUAAAGUUCCUCCUGUUGGCGCCCUUCGGUGUCUUAUUUUUUAUCUGGGACUAAAGGCACUUUAGUCCCGGGUCCAAAGUCAAUCGAGAUAAAAGUACCUGGAUCGAAGGUCAAUUCUCUACUAGUGAGUAUGAUCCACGUCGCGUGCUUGACCACGUGUAUAGACUGCAAGGCGUGCUGAAUAUCAAGUGUCAAGGCUGCCUGAGCACCACAUGCACUGGUUACAAGUGUCUCUAAACAAAGCAACACAUGUCUUUAUUUAAUAGUCUUCUCUGAAUUUGAAGCAGUACUUUCCCUUUUUCUAUGCUUACGGCUGUGAGAGCCUUUGAUGUUCCCACACGCAGUUAUUGAAUGUACAUAUCUGUUACAUUGUUUUUACAUUAGCAAGUGUAAAUUCUUGACGAAAAGUUGGUGAAAAUAAAGCUCAAGAAAUCGUAAGUCUCACUUCCUGGUACUGAUCUUCAAACCUAGCUAUCAGGCGUUCGAUUUUAAAUUUAUUUAUAUGCCUUUCAACAUGUGUAAAUUUAAAUCAUAUUACGCGCUACUCUUAUAUGUAGCAAUGCUCUGAAGUUUGAGUCAACCAGUACGUGUAAGAGUUCCUUAAUUGUUGUCUUCAUGUCAUGCACAGCUUUAAUUUGUUUUGUAUUAAGGUACAUGGAGAAAAUAUUUUAUUCAUAAUUUUAUCUAUAAUUUAAUUGUAGCUGUCAAAUACUUUUGUCAACUUUGGGUUCUUUUAAAAAAAUAAUGAAAGAAAUUUCAUUUUAAAUCAUGAAUAUAAAAAUAAAUCUCAUUUGAAUUGUUAUUGUAUUUCAAACCUAUAGACCAUAAAAACAGUACAUAUGCCUAGUUUUUACUUGAUGUUGAAGUUUAUGUAGGAAAAAUUGAAAACUUUUGGACAGUUUGAAUAGCAAUGAAGUUAGCAGUAGAAGAUUAUGAUUCUAAGGACACCAGGAACAAUGGUGGUUCUGGACGUUGGCUUUAUUUGGCAGGAACUUCCCCUAAUUUCCUAGAUUUUAUAAAUGAUUAAAUAGCUUAUAGAAAGAUUGAUUAUAUGCAUUAAUGUGUACUUUCCCUUUACCUUCUAUGUUUAAUAGAAGGAAAAACAUUGAAGAAAAUAACUUUUUAUGAUUCAACGACAUCUAGGAUCCACCAGAUCGACCUCUUAGAAGUAAAACGAAGUACCUUAAAAUUUUCUUUUUGUUUUUUUCAGCCAGCACCGAUGCAAACAAUCCAUAAUCCAGUGGCAGCAGAACCUGUUCUCCACGGUGCUGAAUCUGCUGAUAGUAAAGACGAAGAUGGAUCAACUUCAGUUAAGUGUGAUCCAUGGAAUCCUGAACUUCCUCCUCCUGCUGCUGCCAUAUAUGAAGCAGAUGACUUGAAUGUCCAACUGAAAAUGAUUUUUGAGGUACGAUUACAAGCCACGCAUGCGCUAUUUGACUCCUUCAUUUCCUAGAAUCCCUUUUAUUUGCAUCGGUUUCUAACUGACACUUUAUUCAUCAGUAUGAAGCUCAAAAUGACAAGAUACUCUCUGAGUCCAGAUCUAGAAGCAUAAUUACCCCAAAGCGCACUCCUAAGGUUCCUAGCUCAUUUCGUUUAGUAUACUUUCAGUUAUGCUGCAUUUUUUCUGUAAAUAUCUUGUGACAGUACAAUUCAUUAGCUUAAUAUGUAUUCAGCAUGAUUUUAUUUGCUCUGACCUAUCAGCUCGAUAACUGACUGACUGUUACCGUUUCCGAAACAUGAAUGUAUAAAUCUAGUCUGUGCGUCUUGACUUCUGUGUGAUAUCACCCUGCUUGUCAACCAUCUUGAAGAAGGAUAGUGUCCGGAGCUUCCUCAAUCUCUUCGCCGGAAAUUGGCGACGCUUGGUAUGGGGCCGGGUCAUCACCCCGCACACCUUCAACUUCAUUGUGAGACACGAUGCCUUGCACUGUGCCAAGGUUGCCGUGGAAGGCAAGGCGCCAAAGCUCGGCGUGGGAACCGGGCCAACCCUAAUUACAUGAACAGCUUUGAGUCUUUCCCCCUUCACCAAGCAGCUAUGAUGUUUUCUCUUGACAUGAUCAACUUGCUUAUAGACUACGGGGCAUCAGCCAAUGUACACAUUGAGGGGAAUAAAGUCAUUGAGGGUCUUCUUCCACUUCAUGUUGCCGUUGAGGAUGCUUGCAUGCAUAAGUAUCUUGAGGUAAUGCUCCUUGCAGCCCAAAAACAGUUGUGUAACCUGAAUGGGUUUGAUAUUAUCAAGUUGCGCAUUUUUGAUUCCACAGUUUCCCUAGAACUACAAGGAUCCGGAUUGGAGAGGGGUAAGAAUCGCAAGGCACAUAAGCUGUUGAAGGAGAAGAAGUACCUUUUCCAAUGUGUCUGUACUUGUUUUUAUAAUUCUGCGAGCUAGUGAAGCUCUUGAUGCAUACGUGCAAACACAUUCAGAGGUGCAUUGCUUUCCCUGAUCUCUUCCUUGUGCCAAAUAUUAUAGUAUACACUAAAAAUGGAAGUAAUUCAUGAAUCACGAGGCUCAGUUGUUGUAGGUGCCCCAUCACGAGGUACUAGAAUAUGUUUCAUCAGUUCUCAAGGAUUAUGGUUUCUCCCCUACUGGAAAAGGCAUUGAUGUUGGAUAUCUUUACUGGUUUGUCUAUCUAUCUGCAUUCUCUUUCAUUCAUUGCCAUUCCAUAUACACAUUUACACAAUGAUCUUAUACUUUUCCCCCAAUUGUUCUUGAAGCCACCCUUAUGAUUGCGGUGAGUCAGAGGAUACAAUACAAAGGAUGUGGUUUCUAUUUGUGCUUUCUCCAUUUUUUUUUUUGCCAAAUCUAACAAAUAAUAACACAUGUUCUAUGACGGAGAACAGGGAACCUGGAUACAACCCAAACAGCUAUGGAAUCAUCUAAUCUGAAGGUAUAGUAUCUCCAAUCCAAGGCCUGUGUCUUUUCUAUUUUUUGGGGAAUAUUAUAACCUGUUUAAUUUCAAUAUUUUUUAUUCCAUUUACUUGUGGGGGUAGAAAGGUUUGUUUAGUUCAUCUGGCUAACUUUAGACCAAAUACCAUGCCCUGCAUAUGCCAUGUUUUUGUUGGGAAGUGAAAUUAACUAUGGCCCCAAGUACCAUCCUUAUUUUCUCGUUUAUUUUGCAUAUGUUAAGAACUUUAGUCGUUACCAGUUAUCUACUGCGAAAUAUAAUUCUAGAAUUGUUUACUGCAGCCUUUUCAAAGUUCUUUGGUGGCUUGAUAUGGCAUGUUUAUCAUUUAGUUAUAGAAAAUUUCAUGUGCAGGAGUACUUUAUAGAACACAUAUGCACAAAUUCAAGUAGUUUCUUGAAUCUUAUCGUGAUUCAUAUACAUAUACUAUUGCAAUUGACUUUGUGGAAUUUUCUCUGUUAGCUGGGAAAUAUAUCAAUGAGGGAUUGAAAAUCAACGCUUAGUACUGUAAUAAUGUAAUUAAUAUAUAUAUCUCGAUCUAGUACCAGCUGUCGUUCUUGGAUUUCUGACACUGAGAUGUUUGGUUGAUCCAACAACUAACCAGGCUGUGGGAAAGCAAGCACCCCAAAGACAAGAUUACAGGAUGUUCAUUCCCUACUGGAGAUCAAUGUUGCAAUCUCGUUUGCCCGUUAGGAUGAUUCUGGCUCAUGCAUUGAAGUCACAGCACAAGCCAGGCACUCGACGGUUUCAUACCGCUGCUGGUAGUUCAGGAAACAUGUCAAAGGAUGGGAGAUCUCUGUUUCUGAACUGCAGCCUUCGAUUGAUGGGAAGGGCUCCACAGCUGCGAAUUCAUCAGUCGAGGAGGAUGUAUACCACUGCUGCGCUUUUUUUUUAAGAAGAACUCAUCCUGCUUUUAUAGAAAGCCAUAAAGGUUUGUUACAGAGCGUUUGCUGGGAAUACCAGCUUACAAGAGAGAACUUCAGAAAAGCCUAGCAACAUACUAAGCUGAAUAAUCUGCAGACAUAUGCUAAAAGAUUACACCAUCGGAGUCUAUCGUAGAAGGUAACAGCAGCUCAAAUGAAGUCCUCCAUCGGGUCUUGAUUGCGUUCCUCUGCUAGGAAUCCUUUCACCCAGGUCACCACUUGGUUGUUUAGCCAUUCCAGGCAGCCUUUGUCAGACUCCUGCAGCAAUAUUUUCCACCUCUGCAAGUAAGAUGAGAUAGCAAAAAUGACAUCACAGGGUGAAUUUGAGAAUUUGCGUUCAAUUCUCAGCUUGUUUCGUUGAUUCUAUAACACCCACAAGAUUAUUGCAAACGAAAAAAAACAUAUCAUAAUUAGCUCCUCCCAAAACUAGCCACCACCUUAGAAACUCCUGCAGGCCGCAUGGAGUGUUCUCCCAGCUGAGGGCUUCCUUGAAACACACUCAAACAAAUUUAGCUAAGAUGCAUUGAAAGAAAAUAUGAUCAGAAGUUUCUAGCAUCCCACAUAAUGGGCAUCUGGCAUCUCCUUUCCAUCCUUUUCUCUUCAACGCCACACUAGACGGUAAUCUGCUAUGGAACAGAGACCAUAGGAACACCCUUAGUUUCAUCGGCAGUUUGCUUUUCCACAGUCUGAUCGCACAUCUGUCCUGCACACCCCUAAAAGUUAGAAAUCUGUACAUAGACUUGGUUGUGUACUGUCCCUUGUUCUCAAGACUCCAGACCACCUUGUCCCUUUGGCCAUUCAGGUAAGCCCUUGUUUACUUCCCUCCAAACUCCCAACUUUGACACUAUGCAAAAAGAAGAUUCCCCAUCACAUCAAACUUGCGGUACAUGCAUGGAGUACUAAAUGUAGACGAAAUCAAAAACUAAUUGCACAGUUUUGUUGUACUUUGCGAGACGAAUCUUUUGAGCCUAAUUAGUCAAUAUUUGGAUAAUAAUUCACAUAUACAAACGAAACGCUACAGUGUCGCAUUUAUGGCAAAAUGCCAAUUUUGCAACUCCCAACUUGAGAAGUAAACAAGACCUAAAUAGGGUCAAGCUAGUGAAUCCCAUUCUCGAACUUCGUUGGGACCAAAUGGUCACCUGAAGUCCUCGCCAGCUAAAAAAAACACUUGCUGACCAGGACCUCUUGGUCCAUAUAGCCCGAGGAAUUCUAGUUUAAGGGGAACAUUAUCUACCUAAGUAUCUAUCUAAAACCUCACAGAUUUCCCAUUGUUAACUUGGAAGGUAGCUCCAAAGAAGAACUUAUCGUUGACUUUAUGUAGCCCUUUCCAGAACUGAGACCCCCUGCCCCCUUGCUAUGGAUAAAAGUAGUGUUUCUAAGGUAUUUCGCUUUUAGGAAGGAGCAACACAUGUCCCCCUCCUCUGAAUUGUAUAUUCUUCAUACCUAUUUGAGGAGCAACGCUUCAUUUAGGAUUCUAGUGUUCAUUAUGCCCAGCCCACCAUAGUCCUUAGGGAUGCACAAUUUUUCUCAUUUAACCAUGUGGUAUUUGAAUUUAUCCUCAGCCCCCCUCCAGAAAAAAUCUUGAUCUGAUUGUGUCCAUCUGUUGGUGCGUCCCCUCAUGGAGCAUGAACAUUCCCAUAAGAUAGAUAGGCAUGCUACUAAGGGAGGAGUUUGUGAGAUUGAGUCUCCCACCAGAUGUCAGGUUCUUCCCCUUCCAAGGUUGUAGCUUAUUUCUCAUUUUGCCCACCAUUCCCCCAAAGGCCUGCAGACCUACAUUCUUAUCACUCAUAGGAAUGCUUAGGUAAGACAUUGGAUCCCCCCCCCCCCACACACACUAUGCAAUUUAGUGUAUCUGCAAUUCUGGAUUGUUCCUCUUCCGAGACACCGAAGGUCAGAACCUCGCUCUUGUGGUAGUUGAUUUUAAAGUACAACAGGAAUUUCAUGUUGAUUAUAGUCUUGUCAUCGCAAUCCAUCAUAAUGGCCGUAUCAUCUGCGUACUGAAUAUGAGUGAGCCUCCUGGGAACUAGGUUGGGAACCACCACUCUAAUGUGACCUUUCUAUUUAGCUUUGUUCAGGAUGUGGUCUAAGGCAUCUACAGCUAGGUUAAAAAGCAAAGGUGACAGCGGGUCCCCCUGCCGCAACCUCCUGUGUGUCUUAAAGUAUGGCACAUUUUCGUCAUUGGUGUUAACACAUACUUUCCUGCCUGGAUUGUGCUUAUGAUCCAUUGGAUGACGAGAGGAUCAAAGCCUUUCCUCUUUAGAACCUGUUCUACAAAAACCCAACUUACGCUAUCAUAAGCCUUCUCGAAGUCGAUCAUCAUUAUCACCCCCUUUUGUUUCUUCUGUCUCAGCUCAUGCAUGGUCUCAAGUAAGAGGACCGUACUGUCUAAGAUGUAUCUCCCAUUGAUGAAUGCUGACUGGCACUUUCCUACCACCUUGUCUGCUAGUUUGGAUAAUCUUGACAUUAUCAGUCGUGUGAAGAUUUUGAAGCUGACAUUGAGGAGACAAAUGGGCUUGUACUGCUUGACAUUGUUAGCAUUCCCUCCUUUCAGCACCAACGUGAUAACCCCGUAAUUCAGUCUUGUCAUGUCUAAUUCCCCCCUUAGAAGUCAUUUAUCAUUUCCAUUAGUUCCCCUUUGGUUAGAUUCUAGAAAUUUUUGUAGAAUGACACCCCAAAACAUAUGGUCUAGGAGCUGAGUCUUCCUUCAUUUCAAAUACCACCUUGUUCACUUCUUCUUAAGAAAAAAGCUUGGUUAGGGCCUCAUUAUCCUGUUGAUCCAGCCUUCAUUCCGUCACCCAGGCUUCUUCACUCAAGGUUACCCUUCCUUCUUCUCUUCUCCCAAAGAGCCCCUUGUAGUAGUCAUAGAUGAUUUUUCUAAAUUUGUUGUUGGUCCAUGACGUUCUCCCCAUUAUGUUCUAGAGACAGGAUAGUUUUUUUUUCUCCUCCUCCCAUUUGCAGUAAGAUGGAAGAAGGUUGUGUUGUUAUCUCCUUCUAGGAUCCAUUUCUCUCCCCCUCUCUUCUGUCAUAAUAUCUUCCAGCUCCACCUCCAAUCGGACCCUUUCCUCCAGUUGUCCAACGGUUGCCACCCUAGAGUCAUUAUUGUCAAUCUGUUUGAUUCUUCCUAGAAGUUCCUCCUUCCUCCUUCCUCCUUCUGUAUGCACCCCUCGUAUUAGCCCCCCAUCCUUUGAGAAAUUGCCGAAGGGGAGAGAUCUGUCCAUGCCAGAUAUCAAGUGAGUAGGCUUCAUCUGGGCAUCUUUCCCUUCCUGCCAGCCACUUUUCUUCCACUAGUGAUUUGAAAUCGUUCUGUUUCACCCAUUGUUUGUCAUAGAAGAAUUGUUUGCAUUUACGCCCUAGGUCUUGCUUCUCCCCCUUAUUAAGCAAGAGCGGGCAGUGAUCUGAACACACUCAGGUUAGACUUGUUAGAGAUGAAAGCGGAAAGUUUUGUUCCCAAUCAGUUGUCAUCAGAACUCGAUCUAUGUUACUCAUCACUGGGUUGGUCUGUUGUUCGUCCAUGUGAAUCUCGCCUCCUUAUAUUCCAGAUAAGUAUCUUCAUUUGUAACUAAUUCUUUUGAGCUCUCUGCUCAGCUUAUCGCCCUCCUAGUAGUUUUAGUGACUUUCUUGUUUACAGAGAAACCUGAUGUACCACUGCUGCGCUUUCACUGCUGAAAAUGUAGAAGCGCGCAUAAGUAGAAAGGUAUGCCGGGUAUGUUCUUUCUUAUUCUCGAUCUUGUGACUCUUAGCAAAACGUCCUUGUAUUUAUCAUGUUUCGGUUUUGCAGGUACUUGCAACUUUCAGUGGUGAUCUGGCAUGCAUGGUUUAUCAGCGUUGGAUGGGCUUUUGAGCUUUUUGGUCGGGCUGUAGUGAGUUAAGUGACAGCACGCAAGGACGAUGCAAAUCCGUAUGCAUUUUUCAAUUGUAUACGCGUCUGAUAGGUGUUCUUUUGAUGGAUAUUUAGAAAUUAAAGGAGUGUACUGCUACACAUCCACUGAUUGCUACCGUGGCUGUCUGACCAAAGAACAUCACGCCCACCACAACUCACAACUGUGUCGUGCGUUGUUGCCGCGAGCGCACCUCUGAGUUGUCAGUUGUUGCUGCUGCUUUGUUGUGUUUUUGUUUUUCUCCUCCUAAUAAAAAUUUGACAACUUUCUUUCGGAAAAGAAACUGUGUCGUGCGUGCACUACCGAUCAUGCAUACUUGGUAAAAUUGGAAGGCCAGCAUCGUGAUAGCACACAGCUGAAAACAUCACGUGUUUGUGCCAGGAAGGGCUAAAAUCAAAAUCUUCAUUUAUUUCUAUAGUAGAAAAUCGUGUACACUAGUAAUGUUAAUCAAGCGUAUCUUUGGUUGGGGGUAGUUUUCCAUGUUCUCGUGCUGGUUUGUGGGUAAAUUGGCUUCCAAGGACAUCGCGUAACAAUAGAGAAGAGGUUUGUUAACAAUCCAUCUGAAGUCCCAGCAGCAGCAUGGCGUGGUGCUCUUCCUUCGGCAGAACCGCAGGAGCUCGAAGCUCCGGCAGCCUGGUGCUUGGGGUGCUCCCAUCACCGGAGCACUUGGAUCCGUUGGAUGCAAAGAUCAUGGUACAUGUGUAACAUGACCUGGACUGCCCUCAAUUUCGCUCAAUUUCCGAAAAGUGCAAGAGCGAAGAUGCAAAAGAGCAAUAGAUGCAAAGCUCCUCCAUGAUCUUGAUCUUACAUCCGACGGAUGCAAGUGCUCCGGUGAAUGGGAGCCUUUCGGUAUCGUUUUCGCCGCUGCCCUCUCUCCACCGCUUUGGCCUGCUAUUUAUAGACCGAGCGGCAGGGCAGGGCAGUUACGUUCAUCUACGGUGAUCUCGCGCUCUCUCAUUUGAAUUUUGUAUUCGUUCGGCGCUGGCGCCGCGUCAGAAACGCGGUGGAGUCCAUGGGCGACGCCGUGUGGACUAGUCCUCGACCUCUUUUCUUUAUUUUGUUCAAAAUCCAAUCACUAGUUCCUCAAUGUUUCAAGCGAUGCUAGCUGGUGCCGUAAGCCCGUAACUACCUACUGCUACGCAUGACACACCUUUAAUUUUGUUUUAUUAAUUCGGACGGUGCUCUGCGCAGGGAGUUUCCGCUGCCUGGCAUGUGGGUCACAUCUUGGCGAUUAAGCUAAUGUUUAGUAAUUAUCUGCCGGGCGCCGGGCGCCAUGAACGAUCCUGCUGUCUUGGUACAUACACCUCUAUCCGUACAUAUAUACUUUGAUGUAUAUUAUUAAAUUUCACAGCUAAUACCAAAUUAUAUCGGUUUUCUUCAUUAUGGAGCAAUUAUUUUCCCUUAUGAAUUGAUUUCUUCGAAUGGGAUUUAGCCAUCAACUAAUUUUACAUUUUGGGACAGGUCAAAUAAAAUUGGUGUCAGCAUGUAGAAUUGUAGAUUUGCCUUGUUAAAAAAAUCGAAUCCGAGAUUACGCUAUCACGACAUUCCAAACACACAGCAUGCGACGUUUUAAAUCUACUACACACAAAUCACCGUGACCAAAAAAGAAA
rnacentral:lncRNA from 1 species